GGUCAAGCGAAUAAGCGCACACGGUGGAUGCCUUGGCGGUCAGAGGCGAUGAAGGACGUGGCAGCCUGCGAAAAGCGUGGGGGAGCUGGCAACAAGCAUUGAUCCCGCGAUGUCCGAAUGGGGAAACCCACCUAGCAAUAGGUAUCCUGCAGUGAAUACAUAGCUGCUGGAAGCGAACCCGGAGAACUGAAAUAUCUAAGUACCCGGAGGAAAAGAAAUCAACCGAGAUUCCCUAAGUAGUGACGAGCGAACGGGGACUAGCCCUUAAGUUGCAUCAGCUUC
rnacentral:rRNA from 1 species